UACGAAGGGUGCAAGCGUUACUCGGAAUUACUGGGCGUAAAGCGUACGUAGGUGGUGAGUUAAGUCUGUCGUGAAAGCCCCGGGCUCAACCUGGGAAUGGCGAUGGAUACUGGCUCGCUAGAGUGCGGUAGAGGAGAGUGGAAUUCCCGGUGUAGCAGUGAAAUGCGUAGAGAUCGGGAGGAACAUCAGUUGCGAAGGCGGCUCUCUGGACCAGCACUGACACUGAGGCACGGAAAGCGUGGGGAGCAAACAGG
rnacentral:rRNA from 1 species